rnacentral:rRNA from 1 species
ACUCCUACGGGAGGCAGCAGUGGGGAAUAUUGCACAAUGGGCGCAAGCCUGAUGCAGCCAUGCCGCGUGUGUGAAGAAGGCCUUCGGGUUGUAAAGCACUUUUCAGUUGUGAGGAAGGUGGUGUCGUUAAUAGCGGCAUCAUUUGACGUUAGCAACAGAAGAAGCACCGGCUAACUCGUGCCAGCAGCCGCGGUAAUACGGAGGGUGCGAGCGUUAAUCGGAAUUACUGGGCGUAAAGCGCAUGCAGGUGGUUUGUUAAGUCAGAUGUGAAAGCCCGGGGCUCAACCUCGGAACUGCAUUUGAAACUGGCAGACUAGAGUACUGUAGAGGGGGGUAGAAUUUCAGGUGUAGCGGUGAAAUGCGUAGAGAUCUGAAGGAAUACCGGUGGCGAAGGCGGCCCCCUGGACAGAUACUGACACUCAGAUGCGAAAGCGUGGGGAGCAAACAGG